rnacentral:rRNA from 1 species
GAUGAACACUGGCGGCGUGCCUAAUACAUGCAAGUCGAGCGAACAGACGAGGAGCUUGUUCCUCUGACGUUAGCGGCGGACGGGUGAGUAACACGUGGAUAACCUACCUAUAAGACUGGGAUAACUUCGGGAAACCGGAGCUAAUACCGGAUAAUAUAUUGAACCGCAUGGUUCAAUAGUGAAAGACGGUUUUGCUGUCACUUAUAGAUGGAUCCGCGCCGCAUUAGCUAGUUGGUAAGGUAACGGCUUACCAAGGCAACGAUGCGUAGCCGACCUGAGAGGGUGAUCGGCCACACUGGAACUGAGACACGGUCCAGACUCCUACGGGAGGCAGCAGUAGGGAAUCUUCCGCAAUGGGCGAAAGCCUGACGGAGCAACGCCGCGUGAGUGAUGAAGGUCUUCGGAUCGUAAAACUCUGUUAUUAGGGAAGAACAAAUGUGUAAGUAACUAUGCACGUCUUGACGGUACCUAAUCAGAAAGCCACGGCUAACUACGUG